UCCAGUCCCAUAGACCUCAAGCAGGCCUGG
rnacentral:piRNA from 1 species